rnacentral:lncRNA from 1 species
AUUAACUUUGUCUCAAAAUUGAUGUGUAGCUUGAUCUUCAAGUCUUCCAACAUCCAUGCUAAUUUUCAUCUUAAUCCGAUUGAUAGAUCUUGAGAUAUCAUAGAAACCCUACCCAACCUCAAACUGUCACCUUCCGAAAUCCUUUUGUGCUAAAAACUAGAUAUCUCUAAACCACGCCAUUAGAUUAUCACAAAAUUUUGUAUACACUUAGGACAUCCAAUAAUCCAAAUAGUGUGAAAUUUUCAACCAUAGAUAUCACAUCAAUUGUACGAACUAGCCAAAAUUACUAGCCCUAAUUAUAUUAUAUAAAAUCCAAAUCACUAAUACAAACA